rnacentral:lncRNA from 1 species
GCGUGGGUGGCCUGGCUCCUGGAGUAGGUGGCCUGGUUCCUGGCGUAGGUGGCCUGGUUCCUGGUGUUGGAGGUGUCCCAGGUGAGGAGGAGGAAGGCAAGGGUGAGAGCAGCCUGGCAGGUGUGGGGGCAGUUGUGGGGGCAGGACAGGCUUGAGGAGAACCUCAGCAGUGUCCCUGGGGGGCUGCAGACAGGGCCUGAAGGAUGGGCUCUGCCCAGGUUUGCUGUGAGGCCUUCCCAGGGUCUGACCCCCCUCUGCUGUCUCUGCCCAGGUGUUGGAGGUCCUGCAGCAGCAGCCAAAGCAGCAGCCAAGGCAGCCAAAUUUGGUGCCGGGGUUGGAGGGGUGCCAGGGGUGGUGCCUGGCGUGGGCGGAGUGCCCGGAGUGGCACCCGGUGUUGGUGGCGUGCCCGGCUUGGUGCCAGGGGUGGGAGUACCUGGAACUGGCAUCCUUCCCGGGGCAGGCAUCCCCCAAGUAGGGGUGCAGCCUGGUGCUAAACCUCCCAAAUUCGGUGUUCCUGGGGUUGGAGUCCCAGGGGUUGGUGGCCUCCCAGGUGGCCUUGGCGUCGGUGGGCUCGGAGUUGGUGGUCUCGGAGCUGCUGGGAAACCUCCCAAGCCAGGCGUUGGAGGUCCCGGCUUCGGCGUAUCACCGCUAUUUCCAGGUGGGGUCGGCGGCCUGGGAUUCGGCGGGAAACCCCCCAAGCCCUACGGAGGAGCUCUGGGUGCCCUGGGCUUUAGAGGCGCGGGCUGCGCGGCAGGGAAGUACUGCGGGAGGAAGCGGAAGUAACGCUCCGUCACCGAUCACCUCAUGAACUUUGGUGCUACUGCAUGGUCCAGAAUGUAAAUCCGAAGCAAAGCUGAGACACCCUCUCCUCCAGCCCCGGAGCCCCCCGUCCAUCCCGGGGCCGUUCCCCGGCAGCGCCCGGCCCCCCCCCGGCCCUCGGUCCCGGCAGGGAGCGCGGAAUAAACUGCGGGGAGCAGCCGUCCCCCUUGGUGCU